rnacentral:tRNA from 1 species
UGCUUGAUCGUCUAAUGGUAGGACAGCGGACUCUGACUCCGUUAAUCUUGGUUCGAAUCCAGGUCAAGCAGCCA